AUUGAACGCUGGCGGCAUGCCUUACACAUGCAAGUCGAACGGCAGCACGGGAGCUUGCUCCUGGUGGCGAGUGGCGAACGGGUGAGUAACACAUCGGAACGUACCCUGAAGUGGGGGAUAACGUAGCGAAAGUUACGCUAAUACCGCAUAUUCUGUGAGCAGGAAAGAGGGGGAUCGCAAGACCUCUUGCUUUAGGAGCGGCCGAUGUCGGAUUAGCUAGUUGGUGAGGUAAAGGCUCACCAAGGCGACGAUCCGUAGCGGGUCUGAGAGGAUGAUCCGCCACACUGGGACUGAGACACGGCCCAGACUCCUACGGGAGGCAGCAGUGGGGAAUUUUGGACAAUGGGCGCAAGCCUGAUCCAGCCAUGCCGCGUGAGUGAAGAAGGCC
rnacentral:rRNA from 1 species